GCCUGUCGCCAUCCACUGUCAGCAGGACUGGAGCCUCUAUCCUCACUGGGAUCGCCCAGAGACUCUGUCUCAGGCUCAAAGGUCUAGGGGUGUCUUCCCUCUCAAGUCCUGCCCAGGUCAUGGCAACCAGCUUGCUGGACUGGGAUUGGCGCACCCAGUCUCCCCAGGUCCCCGCUGCCUCCACAGUGGGGUCCUCCAGAUGUUCCCUGAGAGUGGCUCGUUGUCCAGGGCUGUCUUUGCUCCCAGGUGGUAAUAUGAUUUUAAUAUGCACCCGUGUGCAAGUCUUUAUGGGAAAUGGGGAAGUUCAUCCUGGGCAGCAGCGGCUAAAUUGCCUGACGGGUUGGAAGAGAAUAAGGGAUGGGGAUACAAAUGCAAGGAUAAAACAAGCAGCAUUCAGAGGUGUUGAACUUCCCACAGAUUUCCCCCUCAUCAGCGAGAAGGUAAUCUACUGCCAGUCGGAGUUGGUACACCAGGUACAUCAGGUCUGGGAGAGGUGGUCACUUAUAUGAUCAAGAGCCAGGGCUGUUUUGUUUGAUGUUAUUUCAAUUACAGCUUGGAGCCUGAUUAUUCUGUUUAACAUGUAUAUUGGGGUCCUAUAUCCCCAGGACCCAUCCUGGGCCCAGGUCGCUGGCCCAUAAGUUCUUAUUAUUUCCUCCAGGGUCCAGACUGUUCCUUUCCAAUUCUGGGUCCCUCCUGUGCUUAUUACACUUCUCUUCUUCCUUUUUAGGGGCCUCUUUAGGUUGUCAUAUAGUGGUACUCCAAGCUCUGAGCCAGCCUCUUUUGGGAGCAGGAAGAAAGCUGGCUUUAUCACCCCAAUCGUGCAGCUACCUGACCAGUCUCCUGGUAGAUGUGUAUAAGCUGCAUCCUCGCAGAUCCAAAAGAAAUCAUCUGGGGCUUCCCAAAAACCCUCCCUGUCUUCAUAGGGGUACUCCCAAUGCUUUGAUAGGCUUCUAAUUCCCCAGAAGGGAUUGAUCCCUUUUUCUGCACAUUCAUAAAGGUUAUAUCCUUUGUGAUGAAUGCACCCUUUUUCCCUCUUCUCUAAGGAUCAAUAUCUUAGGUUGGGCUCCUGGGGGAACCCAUUUAGUUCCUAGAUUCUUCGUUAUAUCUUUUGCAUGCCAUCCGCCCCACCAGGGUUCUAUAUCUUUUUCCAGUUUGUAGAAUACAGUCUUCCCCAAUUACCUUAGCCUUUAAUUCCCAUUUUUCUCUUCUCCUAUACCCUGGUGUGCUUUGGCCUUCCCCAGUUCAUUUUAUGCUUAGAAUUUCUCGAGGUUUCAAGCUAAUUCCCUCCCAGGGCCAAAUAUCAGACAUUUUAGUACUCCCACAUACCCAACAAUCAGUUAUAUUUAAUUCCUUGCUGAUGUUUUCAACUGAAUCAAUGAACAAGUUCUUCCCACUCAAAUUUUCCCAUUCUUCAUUUCCCACGCUCAUGUCCACUCUUUUCUCCUUUACCACAUCAGGUUCACCUUUUACUGGUUCGUUCUUUUCAAAGCACAGCCAAGUAUCCCUCAUGGGACAGUCUCCCAAAAGACGUUCUCUAAAAGUGGCCGUAUUUCUGGUAAUCCAAUAUGUUUUUCCGUUUUCUUGGCAUUCUUCUAAUUGUGAUUUGUUAUAACAAGAAGGACUCAAAUUUGUGUGGACCCUUACCAGGGACCCUAGAUUUUCCCCAUCAUACAAGGGAUAAUAACGUUUCAUGCAAGAGUCUGUCCCCAUGGCAUUGGUGAGGUGCAUUGCUAUCACCAGACCUACCAUGAGCCUUGUGAUGAUCCUUUUAGGCUCCCUCCUGUCCGUGACUCCCAAGAGUCCAGCAGGAACCAUGUUUGAUCUCCCCUGGUCUUGCCUCUUGGGGUUUUCCUCACACUUUUUUGGGGGUCUGGGUCCAAGGCUUACAGCUUUAUUAUUUUUUUGUCCUUCUCCUUUUUACUGUUGUCGGUUUUGGUCUUGGGAAAAGCUGCCCAGGGAGGAAUAUAGUCUUGGCUAGGAAAUUGGAGCCUUAUUCGGGGGGGAGGGGUUCUUUUACUUUUUCAUAAUAAUAAUAAUAAUAAUAAUAAUAAUAAUAAUAAUAAUAGUUACAAGUUAACCACAACUGGAAAACACCUUAACAUUAGUUCACAGACUUUAAAGAAACACUUAACCACAAAUGUUGCAGCCAAGAGAUCACUUAACAACAUCUGUUAUAAUUCCAGUUCCUGAUUGGGGACUUUAGUCUCUGGGUUUCCUCCUUAAGGUUAUUUUCGAGUCCUUGGUGUUGGGGACAACAGUCCAGUUAGAGGGAUCUUUUUCAGAGUUUACUUCCCCAUCUGGUGGUGCCACUGGUCCUUUAACUCGAGUCACGUGUGUCCACCCUUUUUCCCGGGUUCUCACAGCCGUAUGUGUGGUGAGUUGAACUUGGUAGGGUCCUUCAAACUUUGGAGUGAGAGGAGAGUUAGCCCAAGAUUUUACCAAUACCCAAUCCCCAGGGUUGAUAUGGUGUGUGUCUACCUCAAAGGGAGGAGUUUGAGGGAGAUACCCUUUUUUCCUGAGGUUUUCUAAAGUUUUAACAACAGUUUCCAAAUACCUCCUUGAGGUUUCUUCCCCUUCAGUAUACUGGGCAGUGCUGUAAGGAGUAAUUAGGAAGGGGAGUCCAAAUAACAUUUCAUAAGGGGAUACCCCUAAAUCUGCUCGAGGUCGGGUUCUUAUCUGUAAUAAAGCCAAAGGGAAACAUUUUAUCCAAUCUAA